AAUGUACCCCCUCCCGCCGAGCUCUCCCACUGUGACGAGAAGAUUAAUCCCUAUAUAAAGAAUCUUAGGGAUUAAGUAAAGUGCUCAGUAAAGGUCUGGGUGCUUGGUGUGUGGCAAGGGGGAGUGUGGGGAGGGUGGCAAUAGCAACAAGAAAGCAGAAGAGCUACAAACCUCAAAGAAAGCCAGCGAGAAGGGAGGGAGCUCACUGGCUGCCUGACAGGCCUGACAGGCAUUCCCAGCUGAUCCGUUCCAGACCCUGCGUGGAUUUGGCUCUGUUUGACUCUGCUCCUGUGAAACCGGAGAUGUUGAGAAGGCAGAGUGAGCGAGAGAGAUGCCCUCAGUCUUAACGAGCGCUGACAACGAACGGAAGAUAACCCAGCAUGAGGGACAGGUGGAGUGGUAUCACUGAGGCUCACAGAGAGUUUUGAGCUUCCAACUGCGACGCUUCUCUCCAGUUGCAACCCUGAAGGCCAUGGACAGUGCCCCAAAGCAAUCACAGGGCAGGGAAUGCAUGCAGAGGGCACUGCGUUGCAGCGUGGCAAAGCCCAGGGAAGGAGAGUGCUUCCAUCCUGUGCGGCCUCUCUUCCCCUGCAAAGUGCAGUUUUGGGAGACAGUUUGCUCCAAGGGCUGCUACAAUGAUUCACAUGUACCUCUUCAUGUAUGUAAGGAUUGUAGCUCAGAGCAGAGUUUGUUCCCUGGUGCAUGAACCAUGCUGGAGUACAGUUGUAGUUGAAGCUUGGAUUCUUAGGAGGGCACAGAGUCCACAUGUAGCUUCAGCUGGAUGAUAUCAAAGGACUUGGUAAGCAAGGAGGAGCACGGCGAAGACACAGAAACAAGUUAAAGAUGUCGCCUGAUCUCCAGCAAAUAUGUGCUCAGUAUUUUAGCCCACAGCAAAGGUAAAAUAAUGCAGGAUGGUUUUACCUGCAUUAAAAGAGCACUCCGUCCAAUUAUUCCAUUUUAUGAGCAUAUGCAGAAGUCAUUAACAUGGAUCAGCUGGUGCUAAGUAGAAUUCUAACCACAGAAACUUGUUCCUAUACCUAAACCUACAUUUCCCCUGCCUGUAAAAGGCAAUUUUGAAGUUUUCCUUGUUGGCGCGUUGUAAAGCUAUAAAAUAUGCAAACCCUCAUUCAAAAGCAUCAUACAAAAAUUAAAAAUGUUUUAAACUAUGACACUGCAUUAGAAUGAUAAAAGGUUAAAACUCUCCCUGCAUGAGAGAAUCUGGACAUUUUCCUUGUGAAUGAAGUGAUGAGAGGAAGACAGAAGCCCUCUGUCAGAUAGUUAGCAACUGUAAUAUUAUUGAUUCGUAAAUUAAAAGUGGGAAUCCCAUACAAAAUAUAAAUUCCCAGCAUUAUUUUCACAUUUCUUUGGAUUCCAAACCAGAAUUCAGCCUGUUGAUACUCAUGUAACACUGAAUUGCAUUUGAAAGUAAUUCACAGGAUAAAUAAAAAUUAGCCCAGGGAAGACUUAAAUACAGCAACUGUAGGACCGGUAUCAAUACCUCCAGAAAAAGGUGAGCAGCCACAGCCAAACUUCACAUUUCUGACCUACAGUCUACACCAAAGAAAUGCAGACAUCAUUCAGUUUUUAGAUAUGAGCGUUAAAUAAAGCCUAAAUAACAAAAAUCAGCGUGGAAACCUGUGAAUAACCUGAGGAUAUUUUUUCCCUGAUUCUCAUAAAAAUGAUGCCAAUUUUGCACUCACAUUGCACACCUGGUUUCUAAUAGGAUUAUUUCAAUUUUUAAACCAGUGAGACAGAUUAGAGAGUAGCCAGAUUCCAUUAAAAAUGGAAAAAAGAAACCCUAAUUGGAUAAAUUGUUCAUUCCAAGGCCAGCAUGAGUUUUAUGAAACACAAUUGAAAUAUCAUGGUGUAAAAUACCCAGUUAACUGUCCAUGCUUCAUUUACAUUAAAUAUAGAAAUGAGCUCUCCUGUCAAAAUUACA